rnacentral:tRNA from 1 species
AUAGCUCAGCUGGCAGAGCAACCGGCUCAUAACCGGUCGGUCCCUGGUUCGAAUCCAGGU